AGCAUAUCAAUAAGCGGAGGAAAAGAAACUAACAAGGAUUCCCCUAGUAACUGCGAGUGAAGCGGGAAAAGCUCAAAUUUAAAAUCUGGUAGUCUUUGGCUGCCCGAGUUGUAGUCUGGAGAAGUGCUUUCUGCACUGGACCGUGUACAAGUCUCUUGGAACAGAGCGUCAUAGAGGGUGAGAAUCCCGUCUUUGACACGGACUACCAGUGUUGUGUGAUGCGCUCUCGAAGAGUCGAGUUGUUUGGGAAUGCAGCUCAAAAUGGGUGGUAAAUUCCAUCUAAAGCUAAAUAUUGGCGAGAGACCGAUAGCGAACAAGUACCGUGAGGGAAAGAUGAAAAGCACUUUGGAAAGAGAGUUAAACAGUACGUGAAAUUGCUGAAAGGGAAACGCUUGAAGUCAGUCGCGUUGGCCGGAACUCAGCCUUGCUUUUUGCUUGGUGCACUUUUCGGUUGACGGGCCAGCAUCAAUUUUGAUCGUCGGAUAAAGGUUGGGGGAAUGUGGCAUCCUCGGAUGUGUUAUAGCCCUUGGUCACAUACGAUGGUUGGGAUUGAGGAUCUCAGCACACCUUUAUGGUCGGGGUUCGCCCACGCUUGUGCUUCGGAUGCUGGCAUAAUGGCUUUAAACGACCCGUCUUGAAACACGGACCAAGGAGUCUAACAUGCCUGCGAGUGUUUGGGUGGAAAACCCGAGCGCGUAAUGAAAGUGAAAGUUGAGACUCCUGUCGUGGGAGGCAUCGACGCCCGGACCAGACCUUCUGUGACGGCUCCGCGGUAGAGCAUGUAUGUUGGGACCCGAAAGAUGGUGAACUAUGCCUGAAUAGGGUGAAGCCAGAGGAAACUCUGGUGGAGGCUCGUAGCGAUUCUGACGUGCAAAUCGAUCGUCAAAUUUGGGUAUAGGGGCGAAAGACUAAUCGAACCAUCUAGUAGCUGGUUCCUG
rnacentral:rRNA from 1 species